rnacentral:rRNA from 1 species
CAUUGGUUGGGAGUUGUAAACUCGGGUAAUUUUUGAGNUGNNCUGCGGAGGGAUCAUUACCGAGUUUACAACUCCCAAACCCAAUGUGAACGUUACCAAACUGUUGCCUCGGCGGGAUCUCUGCCCCGGGUGCGUCGCAGCCCCGGACCAAGGCGCCCGCCGGAGGACCAACCAAAACUCUUUUUGUAUACCCCCUCGCGGGUUUUUUUAUAAUCUGAGCCUUCUCGGCGCCUCUCGUAGGCGUUUCGAAAAUGAAUCAAAACUUUCAACAACGGAUCUCUUGGUUCUGGCAUCGAUGAAGAACGCAGCGAAAUGCGAUAAGUAAUGUGAAUUGCAGAAUUCAGUGAAUCAUCGAAUCUUUGAACGCACAUUGCGCCCGCCAGUAUUCUGGCGGGCAUGCCUGUCCGAGCGUCAUUUCAACCCUCGAACCCCUCCGGGGGGUCGGCGUUGGGGAUCGGCCCUCCCUUAGCGGGUGGCCGUCUCCGAAAUACAGUGGCGGUCUCGCCGCAGCCUCUCCUGCGCAGUAGUUUGCACACUCGCAUCGGGAGCGCGGCGCGUCCACAGCCGUUAAACACCCAACUUCUGAAAUGUUGACCUCGGAUCAGGUAGGAAUACCCGCUGAACUUAAGCAUAUCAANNGNAGGAAAAANUACCCAGUUUACACUCCCAAACCAAUG